UCGAACGAGAAGUACAGUAGCAAUACUGUAUUGUAAAGUGGCGCACGGGUGAGUAACACGUGGGUAAUCUGCCCUCGAGUUUGGGAUAACCCCGCGAAAGCGGGGCUAAUACCGGAUAAGACCACGGAGACCAAAGUCUCUGAGGUAAAAGGUGGCCUCUAUUUAUAAGCUACCACUUGAGGAUGAGCCCGCGGCCCAUUAGCUAGUUGGCAGGGUAACGGCCUACCAAGGCAAUGAUGGGUAGCUGGUCUGAGAGGACGAUCAGCCACACUGGAACUGAGACACGGUCCAGACUCCUACGGGAGGCAGCAGUGGGGAAUAUUGCGCAAUGGGCGAAAGCCUGACGCAGCAACGCCGCGUGGGGGAUGAAGGUUCUCGGAUUGUAAACCCCUUUCGAUCGGAACGAAUCCCCUCCUGGUAAAUAAUCAGGAGGAUCGACGGUACCGAGAGAAGAAGCCACGGCUAACUCUGUGCCAGCAGCCGCGGUAAGACAGAGGUGGCUAGCGUUGUUCGGAUUUAUUGGGCGUAAAGCGCACGCAGGCGGUUUGGUAAGUCAGAGGUGAAAGCCCACGGCUUAACCGUGGCAUUGCCUUUGAUACUGCCUUUCUUGAGUAGAGUAGGGGGAAGCGGAAUUCCGAGUGUAGAGGUGAAAUUCGUAGAUAUUCGGAGGAACACCGGUGGCGAAGGCGGCUUCCUGGACUCUAACUGACGCUCAUGUGCGAAAGCGUGGGGAGCAAACAGGAUUAGAUACCCUGGUAGUCCACGCCCUAAACGAUGGGCACUAGGUGUGGGAGGUAUCGAC
rnacentral:rRNA from 1 species